CUGUUAUCAAGAAAGGUGGAGGGAAUAGACCCAGUGAAACCUUGGCAACCCUUUUCUUAUAAAGAAGGUGCUACAUUCUAUCCUAGUAUUUGUGGGACAGAUAACAA
rnacentral:ncRNA from 1 species